CAAAAACUGUAGUUACAGCACUGUAUCUUCUGAACUGAAUACAUCUCGUAUCAGACUAUAAAAAUUAAAGGAUUGGAGGGACUUUCUUUUUGCGUGUUAUUGAUCUGAUGUGACUUCACCAUCAGCACUGCCUGCCCUAUGGACCAUCUUUGUCUUUUUUCCAUGCUGAUUUAUUGCAACAGAUUUACAGUUGAAAUAUGGAUCCCGCAGACCCCCUCAUGUCAAGAAGGGAAAGUGGAUGCCUGGGAUGCAGGGAGCGGAGGAGGCUGUUUGUGUAUUGGCUGAGCAGCUACAGUGGCUGCAGACAAUCCUUCUGCAGGAGCAGCAGCAGGUGGCAGGCACAGUGGGCCCAGCAGCAUUGGCAGAGAGAUCACUAAUGCCAGCAGGCUACCCUGAGAGUGCUUUCACCCUUGAGGGAAAAUACAGAAAGAGAUGUGCCGUUGGAUGACAAUGCCAAGCUUACUUAGCCAGAAUGGCUGACAUCCAUUUAAACAUCACCUGGACAAGUGCACCAUUCCCAACCUCUACAACCUUGAGGGCUCAGCUAUAUGAAGAAGAGGAGGAUGGUCAUGCUCUCAGUGUCAUUGACAAGACAUGAAACUCUUUGUCACUUUCAGUUUUUCAAGACGGUCACAGGA